rnacentral:rRNA from 1 species
GAAUCCAUAGGUUAAUGAGGCGAACCGGGGGAACUGAAACAUCUAAGUACCCCGAGGAAAAGAAAUCAACCGAGAUUCCCCCAGUAGCGGCGAGCGAACGGGGAGCAGCCCAGAGCCUGAAUCAGUGUGUGUGUUAGUGGAAGCGUCUGGAAAGGCGCGCGAUACAGGGUGACAGCCCCGUACACAAAAAUGCACAUGCUGUGAGCUCGAUGAGUAGGGCGGGACACGUGGUAUCCUGUCUGAAUAUGGGGGGACCAUCCUCCAAGGCUAAAUACUCCUGACUGACCGAUAGUGAACCAGUACCGUGAGGGAAAGGCGAAAAGAACCCCGGCGAGGGGAGUGAAAAAGAACCUGAAACCGUGUACGUACAAGCAGUGGGAGCACAGAGCAAUCUGUGUGACUGCGUACCUUUUGUAUAAUGGGUCAGCGACUUAUAUUCUGUAGCAAGGUUAACCGAAUAGGGGAGCCGAAGGGAAACCGAGUCUUAACUGGGCGUUAAGUUGCAGGGUAUAGACCCGAAACCCGGUGAUCUAGCCAUGGGCAGGUUGAAGGUUGGGUAACACUAACUGGAGGACCGAACCGACUAAUGUUGAAAAAUUAGCGGAUGACUUGUGGCUGGGGGUGAAAGGCCAAUCAAACCGGGAGAUAGCUGGUUCUCCCCGAAAGCUAUUUAGGUAGCGCCUCGUGAAUUCAUCUCCGGGGGUAGAGCACUGUUUCGGCAAGGGGGUCAUCCCGACUUACCAACCCGAUGCAAACUGCGAAUACCGGAGAAUGUUAUCACGGGAGACACACGGCGGGUGCUAACGUCCGUCGUGAAGAGGGAAACAACCCAGACCGCCAGCUAAGGUCCCAAAGUCAUGGUUAAGUGGGAAACGAUGUGGGAAGGCCCAGACAGCCAGGAUGUUGGCUUAGAAGCAGCCAUCAUUUAAAGAAAGCGUAAUAGCUCACUGGUCGAGUCGGCCUGCGCGGAAGAUGUAACGGGGCUAAACCAUG